rnacentral:lncRNA from 1 species
GCCGUUGAUAACUGCCAUGAUUGUUAGGGGUUUCAAAGGUCUAUAAAUGUGUUUUCCACAAUACUUACUUAUGUCCUUUUUACAAAAUGCAUAAACGUGUUGCCAAGAGUGUUACUAAAUAGGAAAGAAACAGAACACAUGUUUUUCUUUGUUUUCUGUAAGGUAUCUCUUACACAUCAUCUACAGAUCAUACUGGCUCAUCUUGCCUUGUUGCAACAGAGUUGGACUUUGGACCUCAGGAGGAAAACCUGCUGCUAGUGCUGACACAGGGACUGGCCAGGCUGGGAUCUUUGCAGAAUGCCAAAAAGUAGAGCAGCUCCCAGUGCCGUGUCCACCUCAGGACUGUGGUGCUGUGUGCCAUCUCCUCCCUCAUCUCCUUGGCUCCAGCAAGACCCCUCCUGGCAAAGACCUGUGACAGCCCUGUGAUGUUGUGACCUAAUAAGAAGGCCCCCAAAUCUUGGCGUUUCCUGACUAAUAGGGUGAGAGGGAAGCUUUUUGGUUUUUGUAACAAGACC